GACGAACGCUGGCGGCGUGCUUAACACAUGCAAGUCGAGCGGAGCGGCGAACGGGUGAGUAACGCUGGAGUAACUGCCCCCCGCCCUGGGAUAACAGUUGGAAACGGCUGCUAAUACCGGAUAGUGGGGGAUGCCUCGCGUCCUAUCAGCUUGUUGGGGGGGUAGUGGCCUACCAAGGCGACGGCGGGUAGCCGGCCUGAGAGGGCGACCGGCCACAUUGGGCUGAGAUACUGCCCAAACUCCUACGGGAGGCAGCAGUUGGGAAUAUUGCACAAUGGGGGAACCCCGGAUGCAGCAACGCCGCGUGCGGGAUGACUGCCUUCGGGUUGUAACCCGCUUUCAGCCAUGACGCGGUAGUGGCAGAAGAAGCACCGGCUAACUACGUGCCAGCAGCCGCGGUAAUA
rnacentral:rRNA from 1 species